AACGAACGCUGGCGGCAAGCUUAACACAUGCAAGUCGAACGGAUUAUCCUUUAUAGCUUGCUAUGAAGAAUAAUUAGUGGCAGACGGGUGAGUAAUGCAUAGGAAUCUACCUAGUAGUAUGGGAUAGCCACUAGAAAUGGUGGGUAAUACUGUAUAAUCCCUGCGGGGGAAAGAUUUAUCGCUAUUAGAUGAGCCUAUGUUAGAUUAGCUAGUUGGUAGGGUAAAGGCCUACCAAGGCGAUGAUCUAUAGCUGGUCUGAGAGGAUGAUCAGCCACACUGGAACUGAGAUACGGUCCAGACUCCUACGGGAGGCAGCAGUGGGGAAUAUUGGACAAUGGGCGCAAGCCUGAUCCAGCUAUGCCGCGUGAGUGAGGAAGGCCUUAGGGUUGUAAAACUCUUUCAGUAGGGAAGAUAAUGACGGUACCUACAGAAGAAGUCCCGGCAAACUCCGUG
rnacentral:rRNA from 1 species